UGGCGGCAGGCUUAACACAUGCAAGUCGAGCGGUAGCAGAUCUAGCUUGCUAGAUGCUGACGAGCGGCGGACGGGUGAGUAACGCGUAGGAACCUGCCCAGUAGUGGGGGAUAGCCCGGGGAAACUCGGAUUAAUACCGCAUACGCUCUACGGAGGAAAGAGGGGGCUUCGGCUCUCGCUAUUGGAUGGGCCUGCGUGAGAUUAGCUAGUUGGUGAGGUAAUGGCUCACCAAGGCGACGAUCUCUAGCUGGUCUGAGAGGAUGAUCAGCCACACUGGGACUGAGACACGGCCCAGACUCCUACGGGAGGCAGCAGUGGGGAAUAUUGCACAAUGGGCGCAAGCCUGAUGCAGCCAUGCCGCGUGUGUGAAGAAGGCUUUCGGGUUGUAAAGCACUUUCAGUGGGGAGGAAGGCCUCGUAGUUAAUAGCUGCGAGGAUUGACGUUUCCCACAGAAGAAGCACCGGCUAACUCCGUG
rnacentral:rRNA from 1 species